rnacentral:rRNA from 1 species
AUGAACGCUGGCGGCGUGCCUAAUACAUGCAAGUCGAGCGAACAGACGAGGAGCUUGCUCCUCUGACGUUAGCGGCGGACGGGUGAGUAACACGUGGAUAACCUACCUAUAAGACUGGGAUAACUUCGGGAAACCGGAGCUAAUACCGGAUAAUAUAUUGAACCGCAUGGUUCAAUAGUGAAAGACGGUUUUGCUGUCACUUAUAGAUGGAUCCGCGCCGCAUUAGCUAGGUGGUAAGGUAACGGCUUACCAAGGCAACGAUGCGUAGCCGACCUGAGAGGGUGAUCGGCCACACUGGAACUGAGACACGGUCCAGACUCCUACGGGAGGCAGCAGUAGGGAAUCUUCCGCAAUGGGCGAAAGCCUGACGGAGCAACGCCGCGUGAGUGAUGAAGGUCUUCGGAUCGUAAAACUCUGUUAUUAGGGAAGAACAAAUGUGUAAGUAACUAUGCACGUCUUGACGGUACCUAAUCAGAAAGCCACGGCUAACUACGUG